AACGAACGCUGGCGGCAUGCCUAACACAUGCAAGUCGAACGAGACCUUCGGGCCUAGUGGCGCACGGCUGCGUACCGCGUGGGAACCUGCCCUUAGGUUCGGAAUACCUCCCCGAAAGGUGUGCUAAUACCGGUUAUGUCUUCGCACCAAAGAUUGAUCGCCUUUGUAUGGGCCCGCGUUGGAUUAGCUAGUUGGUAGGGUAAAAGCCUACCAAUGCGAGGAUGCAUAGCUGGUCUGCGAGGAUGCUCAGCCACACUGGGACUGAGACACAGACCAGACUCGGACGGGAGGCAGGAGAGGGGAAUAUUGGACGAUGGGGGAAAGUGUGAUCAAGCAAUGCGGCGUGAGUGAGGAAGGCCGUAGGGAUGUAAAGCUCUUUUAGACGGGAUGAUAAUGACAGUAACGGGAGAAUAAGCACCGGCUAACUACGUG
rnacentral:rRNA from 1 species